UACGUAGGGUGCGAGCGUUGUCCGGAAUUACUGGGCGUAAAGAGCUCGUAGGUGGUUUGUCGCGUUGUCCGUGAAAAACUCACAGCUCAACUGUGGGCGUGCGGGCGAUACGGGCAGACUAGAGGUAUGCAGGGGAGAACGGAAUUCCUGGUGUAGCGGUGAAAUGCGCAGAUAUCAAGAGGAACACCAGUGGCGAAGGCGAGUCCCUGGACAAUACCUGACACUGAGGCACGAAAGCCAAGGGAGCAAACAGG
rnacentral:rRNA from 1 species